AUGACAGUUUUUCAAAGCGUCUUCCUGUUGGCUCUCAUUUCAGCUACUCAGGGCCAGUCCCUCACCUCCUCAGAGCCAGUGGUCAACAGAGCUGGACAAUCAGUCACUCUGUCCUGUAAAGUUGAAGGACUUUCUCUUGCUUGGCUGCACUGGAUUCGUCAGAAAUCAGGGAAAGGACUGGAGUGGAUUGGACGCAUUGAUAGUGGAACUGGCACAAUAUUUUCCCAAAGUCUUCAAGGCCAGUUUUCCAUCACGAAAGACACUUCCCAAAAUGUUGUGUACUUAGAGGUGAAGAGUCUGAAAGCAGAAGACUCUGCUGUUUAUUACUGUGCACGAGAGCCACAGUGA